CCUCAUGGAGGCUAGUCCGAUUUGUUUCUGCUGCGCCAUGACAGGGACUCCUUGUGCUCACAUCUUGAGGGACUUCACCGAUGCAGCUGAGAGAAGGAGCCCUGAGAAGAAGCCAGAGCAUGUCCAGGGAGAGAUGAAGCUUUGCGCUCCAUCAUCUUGAGAACAGAGAGGACCUGGCGUGAGGACAGGUGACCAUGCAGAGGACAGCAGGGGAAAGUGGAGAGAGCUUGAGUCCUUGAAUACCCUGUCGAGUCACUGGAUGGACCCCAGGGCCGCUCUGCCUCCCAAUGGCCAUUUUGUGAGAGAAUCCACUUGCCUCAUCCUGAAGCCAUCACGAGGUCUUCAUCUUGAAAUACCGUCUGCAAACAGCCACAACAACAAGGUACCAAGUCACCCUGGAAAUCCCUUUGAAACAUCCAGAGACUGAGCUCUUGCCCGCAGCACCUGGAUGCAGGGCCUGACCCGUCACUCGCUUCAGGUGCGUUCACACAGAGCACCCCUCAAGCCAGCUCAGGUUUGAACCUGCUUUUUAACAUAUGCGAAUGAAAGAGAACGGAUGUGUGUCCAGCUCUGACUGAAUCACUCUGUCGUACAGCAGCAAUGAUCACAACCUUGGAAGUCAAUGAGACCUCAAUAAAACUUAAAAAGUAAGAUAGGCGGACUGGAAUAGCUCCAGUGCCAGUCACAUCUACUGAUAAAGCAAGUGCCAUUCUGAUUAGACCCACAUCCAAUUUCGUCUCUUGGACUAUAGUAAUGAAACAAGAUGUAUUUUCACAGGAUGUUUCAGUAUGUCUUCAGUCCUAAUUAUCCACUUUCAAUUAAAAAACAAAAAGCCUCAGCACUGCAAUAUAUACCACCGGUCAUUACAUGCCUAUCACAGCUCAUAUCCGAGUCCCUCAGUGUAAAAGAUGGUUGACAUUUAGCCGGGAACUUUUAAAACACUUGAGGAUAAAUUAUGGCCCAAACUUACUCUUCUUAAUGACAUGUAUAAAGUUCAGCUCUUUAAUAAAAGGUUUCAGGAAUACGAAAACAAAGUUUCCAGCAAUAUCCAGGAAAUAAAAGGUCUUUGAGAAUGGUCAGGUCUUGUUUCAAUGAAAUUGUGCAUUUUUAAUACAGUUGGUAUAGAGUGAAACUCUUAGAAAAACAUCGAGGAUUUGAAAAUGAAAUGGAACAUCCUAUUUGCAGGGUCACCAGUACCACAGCGAGAUUUGUCUCUUAAACAAUGACACUUCGUAUCUCUGUAGUUCCAUGAAUACUUUUGAAGUGUCAUAUUAAAACCCAUCUCGUGGCCUUGAGGCAAAGAGAAGCAAUUAGUCUUGGAGUUGUGAAU